AGAAAUUUUGCCAAAGGACGAUGAAGGUUCCCUUGAAGAUGUGAGUGAAGUGGGUGUAUCCGAAGAUAUUGAUAAAGAAAUCGCUGAUAUGCUAGAUGAGCUUCCAAGUAUAGACAAUGAAGGUGAUGUUCUGGAUGAUGUACAAAAUAAGGACGAUACGAAAGAAUAGCCGGUAAAUGAUGCUUCUGAUGUUUUACAAUAAGAAACCAAAGGUCAACAUAGGUCAACUAGAAUUCGAAGAUGUGUACAACGUUACUCUCCUUAAGGAAUAUUAUAGCAUUAUAUUCAUUUUAACAUAGAUUCUCAAGAAAUUCAUCAACAAUUAAUGAAAA